CGCCUGCUCUGCAGUCAGGUACGUAAUGUUGAAUACUUAAUUUGGGAGAUAUUUUUAAAGUGUAUAGUUCUUUCUGAUAAUAUAUGCGUUUGAAUUCGGCGACUUAUGAACUGAGAAAAAAAUAUCUAAAGGUUGAUUCUGUAAUUGCAGUGAAGUCCUCCAUUCUUGGCAUGCUCGUGGUUGUUUUGUACUCUUGUGUGUAUGUUAUGGAGGAAUAUUAGUACCAGUGAAAUGUCUUCGGUACCAGUAUGUUCCCGUCAACUGGUUCUAUCCUCAGUCGCUGGGACACAUUUAAACCGUUUAAGAUAUCAAUGCGACUUCAUGCGUUACGUCGGGGUUAAACCAUGUAAUAGUUUUUCUUAAAUGGAAUUUGUUUAAACGCUGUUUAAACCGUCUGUUCAUUGUCCUUAACAGAUUGAUUUGCUUUCGUGGUGGAAUCCUCUUUUAUGAGUUGACAGAUAAAGGAAUGGUGCUGAGCACAUGGUGUGUCCGUCUGCUGGAGAUGUGAGGUCUUGAUUCUGGUGACAGAUUUGUAUAAAUUGAAUGUCAUUUUGUGUUCGAAAUUGAAUACUGCCAUAACUCUGUGCGUUUUGUUUUAUGUAACGUUUAGUCAAUAAAGUAUUUUCUAAACUCUUGCUUGCAAGUUCAAGUCGUUUUUUUUCCCGUAGUGUAUAAUUGUUUAUUAUAAUAUAUGCACUUAAACACAUUGACUGACUAAUUUAGGAAAAUUCAAACGUUUCAGUCUGUAAUUGCAGUGAAGACCUCCAUUCUUGGCAUGCUCGUGGUUGUUUUGUACUCUUGUGUGUAUGUUAUGGAGGAAUAUUAAUACCAGUGAAAUGUCUUCGGUACCAGUAUGUUCCCGUCAACUGGUUCUAUCCUCAGUCGCUGGGACACAUUUAAACUGUUAGAUAUCAAUGCAAAUGCAUGCAUAUCGUUUUUCUUUAGUGGGAUUUGUUUUGAAGUCUUCGUUUUGUCAUUUUGUGUUCGAAAUUGAAUCCUGACAUAACUGUGUGUUCAGUUUUGUGUUGUAAGUAACCUUACGUCAAUAAAGUAUUUUCUGAAGUCUGGCUUACAA